rnacentral:rRNA from 1 species
UACGUAGGGUGCAAGCGUUAAUCGGAAUUACUGGGCGUAAAGCGUGCGCAGGCGGUUAUGUAAGACAGAUGUGAAAUGCCCGGGCUUAACCUGGGAACUGCAUUUGUGACUGCAUGGCUAGAGUGUGUCAGAGGGGGGUAGAAUUCCACGUGUAGCAGUGAAAUGCGUAGAGAUGUGGAGGAAUACCGAUGGCGAAGGCAGCCCCCUGGGCUAACACUGACGCUCAGGCACGAAAGCGUGGGGAGCAAACAGG